UACGUAGGGGGCAAGCGUUGUCCGGAUUUAUUGGGCGUAAAGAGCGUGUAGGCGGCCAGGUAGGUCCGUUGUGAAAACUCGAGGCUCAACCUCGAGACGUCGGCGGAAACCCUCUGGCUAGAGUCCGGAAGAGGAGAGCGGAAUUCCUGGUGUAGCGGUGAAAUGCGCAGAUAUCAGGAAGAACACCCGUGGCGAAGGCGGCUCUCUGGGACGGUACUGACGCUGAGACGCGAAAGCGUGGGGAGCGAACAGG
rnacentral:rRNA from 1 species